rnacentral:rRNA from 1 species
GACAGCAGUCGCCGCGGUAAUACGGAGGGGGCUAGCGUUGUUCGGAAUUACUGGGCGUAAAGCGCACGUAGGCGGCUUGGUAAGUUAGAGGUGAAAGCCCGGAGCUCAACUCCGGAACUGCCUUUAAGACUGCCGAGCUAGUAGGUGAGAGAGGUAAGUGGAAUUCCGAGUGUAGAGGUGAAAUUCGUAGAUAUUCGGAAGAACACCAGUGGCGAAGGCGGCUUACUGGCUCAUUCUAGACGCUGAGGUGCGAAAGCGUGGGGAGCAAACAGGAUUAGAGACCCGUGUAGUCCCUGUCUCUUAUAC